UUCUUAUAAUUGUAAUUUUUUUAUUUUUCAAAAUUUUGUGGAAUAAAUUAGUCUUUUAAUUCAUUUAAAGAUAAAAUGGUCAUUUUUAGUGUCAAAGUGGUUGAUUGAUACAAACGUAAAAACAAAGGUGGUGGAAAAUACAUGUUAAAGUUUUGUGGUUGUUAGGUAUACAUAUGACAAAAGACAGGUGGUGCAGAGAGAUAUAUAUAUAUAUAUUUUAAAACUUAGAGAGAUAAUCACAACUUGGCAAGAUAGUACCAAGUUAAAAUUCUACUACUAUUAUCUCUCUUUAAUGCUUCUCUAAAAGUAUGGAUGCACAUAUCAUAUCAAGUCAAACAUACUCACUUAUGUACUUACUAAUUCCAUUCAUCAAUCUCUAAUUUUAAUGAGGAAAAUAAGAGUAUGAAUCUCUAAAUCUGGGGCUUUACAUCUUGAUCCUACAAAGAUGCUAAAUGUGCAUAGUCCGUGGAGCAUAGUUUUGCAGAGGAUUGAAAUUUUCACUGAAAACAAUAAGGCUAUUCUUGUUUUACUUUUUGGAGGUUACAUUUUGUUCAUUAAAUGGGAAAAAAAUUAUAUUUACAUAAUUGGGUAUAUAGUUUGCAUCAAAAGUAACAUGUCAUGAGUCAAAUAUUGCCCAUUCUAUUUGCCAUUUGCUAGGUGUUAAAAUUAGUUGCAAACAAGAUAAUGUUUCUCAAUGCAGUAGGUGUUUGUAAAGGUGAAACAUGUACACUUGGAUGUGAUUAUUUGGAAAAUAAAUAAUUUAUAGAACAUCCUGUAUCGUGCUCUGGAAUCAUCUCCUGGAAAAGUCAAAAAGAAAUCUCUUUUGGUGUCUGCUCCAUUGAAUGUGAAUAUUGCCACUUCAAUAAAAUAACAAGAAAAUGUCAAAAUGGGGGAACCUAGAGUGGAGAAAGUAAAGGAUCCAUAGUGAUCCAAGUCUGUCACUCACAGGUUGGGUGGGGAGCGUCGCUCUAAGAGUGGGUGGAAAACAAUUAAAGGAAUAGAAAGGGAGAACUGGUACGGGGUUUAAACACAGACAGGAUAUAGUUAAGGAGGUUGGUAAGAAGUUGGUGAGUGCUUUUAGUGCAACUGAUUCUAAGAAGAGAGAUGGAUGCAGAGGAGUUAAUACGUAAAUGUGAAGCCAUAAUUAAGCUUAAAAUCAGAGGAAGACGAUAUAAUAAACUUUGAGGGAAGAAUGAAAGUUAGAGGAGAGAAAGUUGCAGCACACUGCCUUGUUGGGAAAAUAUUGCAGACACGUGGAGUCUCCCGUUGGUAGUGUCGUUAAGGUGCACCAAAUUUAAAACUUUACCACUAAUAUAAAUAAUUAGUACAGAGCGAGUAAGGAUCGAUCCCACAGAGACUAUGCUAGUUAUAUUUAUUAUCAACUCUAAAGCAAGAUUUAAAAUAAAAUAAUAAUAGUAAUAAUAAUAUAAAUUAAUCUAACUAAAGA
rnacentral:lncRNA from 1 species